rnacentral:rRNA from 1 species
UACGAAGGGGGCUAGCGUUGCUCGGAAUCACUGGGCGUAAAGCGCACGUAGGCGGAUUGCUAAGUCAGGGGUGAAAUCCUGGAGCUCAACUCCAGAACUGCCUUUGAUACUGGCGAUCUCGAGUCCGGGAGAGGUGAGUGGAACUGCGAGUGUAGAGGUAAAAUUCGUAGAUAUUCGCAAGAACACCAGUGGCGAAGGCGGCUCACUGGCCCGGUACUGACGCUGAGGUGCGAAAGCGUGGGGAGCAAACAGG